rnacentral:lncRNA from 1 species
GCGCUCCAGGGCGGGCUUGGAAAUGGAGACAAACUCCUCCGAGCCGUUAAGGCUCAGCCGGACAGGGCUUAGGAGUCCCGAGCCCAGUCCUGUUCACCCCCAUUUUAUAGAAAGGGAAACUGAGGCCCAGACAGGGGAAAGUCACUUGCCGAGGUGUUUGCUGCAGACUGCGUUGACCGAACCUGCUUUUUCACAGCAGUCAGACAGCAAGCCCUCCCGUCCCUCCAGGACCCUAGUUCCUGGGGAGGAAGGCGUUCUCAGCGAUAAUGACCAGCAUUAAAGUGCUCCCCGUUACCGGCGUCACUGCCCCAGCCAGUGGAGGCCCCGGAGAGGGACUGAAGAUGUGUCACCUAACUUCUCUGAACCUUCCUCCCUCAAGGAGAACUGAUAAUCCCUAACUCACAGUUCUGUGAGGAUUGAAUGCCUUAAGCAUGCAGGUUAAGUGGCUACUGAAGGCAGUUUUUGUGGACAGAAACUGGUCCCAGCGUCAGAUCUGCGAUGCUGCCCAGGCAUGGUGGUGACCCUCUCUAAACAAGCACACUCAGAAUUUCCCUGGCUCGGCUGGGCGACUCAGAAGAAAACUGGCCAUCAGCUUCUGCCUCAAGCGGGUGCUGUGGCAAGGAAGACAGAGCAUGUGUGUUGUGAACACUCAUUAGAGGAUCAUCCCUGCUGUGCCAGGUGCCAUGGCGCUGGAUGCAGAAAGCAGGACACAUGGAAAGAUGGUGUGUUCACAAAGAAUUUGGAAGAAAGCCAGAUGGUGACAAGAGUGUGUCUCUGAAUGCCCCUUUUGGGGGUCACUAAAAAUGCCCCAGGGUUUUUAGUUAGACCAAAAAGGAGGCUUCAAAGAGAUGACUUCUGAGCCGGGUUGUGAUACAUCUAGGAUGUCAACAGGCAGAGAAAGGGCAGGGACUGGGAGUAAGGAAAGAACAUCUGUUCAAGGCAAAACACUGAUUACCAAAGUUUCUAUCAUCCUUAUGUUGACAACGGACAUAAUUUUAACCUUUUGUAUAAGCCAGACUGUAAAGGAUUAUUAGCAGAAUAAAAGCAUCUAUUGGGCCUGGUGCAGUGGCUCACGCCUGUAAUCCAAGCACUUUGGGAGGC